AUAUGGGUAUUGUGAAGAAAAAGGAAAUGAAAGGUGCCAUAUCAGCAUUAGCUUCUAUUCAAGGUUAUCUAUUAGUUGCUUCAGGCCCAAAAGUUAUCCUACACAAGUGGACCGGUUCUGAGUUGAACGGUGUUGCUUUUUUCGAUGCCCCACCACUUUAUGUAGUCAGCUUAAAUAUUGUCAAGAAUUUUAUUCUGAUUGGAGAUAUUCUGAUUGGAGAUAUUCUGAUUGAGAAAACGGAUCUCAAUUGACUUUACUGGCUAAGGAUUUUGGCUCUCUGGACUGCUUUGCAACAGAGUUUCUGAUCGAUGGGAUGCUUGAUUCAGGAAUAUUAAACAAGGGAGUGCGCACGAAUUUGGCUAUGAUUGCAACGCAUCCACUUGUUCAGCUUUCUUUCCUUCACAUUCUUCUAAUAAAGAAGAUGAGGGAAUCAAUACAUAUGAUUACAUUGAUCAUAGCGUUGAGAGAGUAGGAACAAGAAGGAAGCGUGGUUAACAAGUCCUCAAAUGUCACCAGCAAGCUCUAUCGCCGGUUUGAGCAACACCAGCUCAUUUAAUAAUUUCCAUCAAGGAGCUUAGUAUACACCCUAGGCCUGGAAAAGUUAACCUAAGCAGGGCAGCAUCCAUAGGAUAUCAGAGUUCUUGUUCUUGGCAUUGCCUUCCCUUGACAAGUUGCUUCGCCCAACGAAUUGAGGAAUUCUAAGAUGACAUGGUAAUGGAUGGUGCUUAUCAUGUACGUAAUCUAAAGCAAUUGAUGACAUGGUAAUGGAUGGUGCUUAUCAUGAACCGUGGGGUCUUCAUUCUUUUGUGAGC